rnacentral:rRNA from 1 species
CAUGGAGCCGACCUUGAAAUACCACCCUUUAAUGUUUGAUGUUCUAACGUGGACCCGUAAUCCGGGUUGCGGACAGUGUCUGGUGGGUAGUUUGACUGGGGCGGUCUCCUCCUAAAGAGUAACGGAGGAGCACGAAGGUUGGCUAAUCCUGGUCGGACAUCAGGAGGUUAGUGCAAUGGCAUAAGCCAGCUUGACUGCGAGCGUGACGGCGCGAGCAGGUGCGAAAGCAGGUCAUAGUGAUCCGGUGGUUCUGAAUGGAAGGGCCAUCGCUCAACGGAUAAAAGGUACUCCGGGGAUAACAGGCUGAUACCGCCCAAGAGUUCAUAUCGACGGCGGUGUUUGGCACCUCGAUGUCGGCUCAUCACAUCCUGGGGCUGAAGUAGGUCCCAAGGGUAUGGCUGUUCGCCAUUUAAAGUGGUACGCGAGCUGGGUUUAGAACGUCGUGAGACAGUUCGGUCCCUAUCUGCCGUGGGCGCUGGAGAACUGAGGGGGGCUGCUCCUAGUACGAGAGGACCGGAGUGGACGCAUCACUGGUGUUCGGGUUGUCAUGCCAAUGGCACUGCCCGGUAGCUAAAUGCGGAAGAGAUAAGUGCUGAAAGCAUCUAAGCACGAAACUUGCCCCGAGAUGAGUUCUCCCUGAGACUUAGAGUCUCCUGAAGGAACGUUGAAGACGACGACGUUGAUAGGCCGGGUGUGUAAGCGCAGCGAUGCGUUGAGCUAACCGGUACUAAUGAACCGUGAGG